rnacentral:rRNA from 1 species
CAGCUGACGCAGAUUCUACACAUGCAGUCRCACGAACCUUUCGGGGUUAGUGGCGGACGGGUGAGUAACGCGUAGGAAUCUGUCCACGGGUGGGGGAUAACUCUGGGAAACUGGAGCUAAUACCGCAUGAUACCUGAGGGUCAAAGGCGCAAGUCGCCUGUGGAGGAGCCUGCGUUCGAUUAGCUAGUUGGUGGGGUAAAGGCCUACCAAGGCGAUGAUCGAUAGCUGGUUUGAGAGGAUGAUCAGCCACACUGGGACUGAGACACGGCCCAGACUCCUACGGGAGGCAGCAGUGGGGAAUAUUGGACAAUGGGGGCAACCCUGAUCCAGCAAUGCCGCGUGUGUGAAGAAGGUCUUCGGAUUGUAAAGCACUUUCGACGGGGACGAUGAUGACGGUACCCGUAGAAGAAGCCCCGGCUAACUUCGUGCCAGCAGCCGCGGUAAUACGAAGGGGGCUAGCGUUGCUCGGAAUGACUGGGCGUAAAGGGCGUGUAGGCGGUUUACACAGUCAGAUGUGAAAUCCCCGGGCUUAACCUGGGAGCUGCAUUUGAUACGUGUAGACUAGAGUGUGAGAGAGGGUUGUGGAAUUCCCAGUGUAGAGGUGAAAUUCGUAGAUAUUGGGAAGAACACCGGUGGCGAAGGCGGCAACCUGGCUCAUUACUGACGCUGAGGCGCGAAAGCGUGGGGAGCAAACAGGAUUAGAUACCCUGGUAGUCCACGCUGUAAACGAUGUGUGCUAGAUGUUGGGUAACUUUGUUAUUCAGUGUCGCAGUUAACGCGUUAAGCACACCGCCUGGGGGAGUACGGCCGCAAGGUGAAACUCAAGGAAUUGACGGGGCCCGCACAGCGGUGGAGCAU